rnacentral:rRNA from 1 species
GUGAAAUCCCCGGGCUCAACCUGGGAACUGCAUUCGAAACUGGCAGGCUUGAGUCUUGUAGAGGGGGGUAGAAUUCCAGGUGUAGCGGUGAAAUGCGUAGAGAUCUGGAGGAAUACCGGUGGCGAAGGCGGCCCCCUGGACAAAGACUGACGCUCAGGUGCGAAAGCGUGGGGAGCAAACAGGAUUAGAUACCCUGGUAGUCCACGCCGUAAACGAUGUCUACUUGGAGGCUGUGCCCUUGAGGCGUGGCUUCCGGAGCUAACGCGUUAAGUAGACCGCCUGGGGAGUACGGCCGCAAGGUUAAAACUCAAAUGAAUUGACGGGGGCCCGCACAAGCGGUGGAGCAUGUGGUUUAAUUCGAUGCAACGCGAAGAACCUUACCUGGUCUUGACAUCCACAGAAGUUUGCAGAGAUGCGAAUGUGCCUUCGGGAACUGUGAGACAGGUGCUGCAUGGCUGUCGUCAGCUCGUGUUGUGAAAUGUUGGGUUAAGUCCCGCAACGAGCGCAAC